rnacentral:rRNA from 1 species
ACGGAGGAUGCAAGCGUUAUCCGGAUUUAUUGGGUUUAAAGGGUGCGCAGGUGGUUUUAUAAGUCAGUGGUGAAAGUCUGUCGCUUAACGUCAGGAUUGCCAUUGAUACUGUAGGACUUGAGUAUGGAUGAGGUAGGCGGAAUGUGUAGUGUAGCGGUGAAAUGCAUAGAUAUUACACAGAACUCCGAUUGCGAAGGCAGCUUACUAAUCCAUUACUGACGCUGAGGCACGAAAGCGUGGGGAUCAAACAGGAUUAGAUACCCUGGUAGUCCACGCCGUAAACGAUGAUCACUCGCUGUUUGCGAUAUACAGUAAGCGGCUUAGCGAAAGCAAUAAGUGAUCCACCUGGGGAGUACGAUCGCAAGGUUG